rnacentral:lncRNA from 1 species
GAGUAAACAUUUUUAUCUUACUUAAUUUUGGUAAUAUAUACCUUUUAGAUAACUUUCGGGUUAUAUAUAUGUUUCUUUUAGGUUACUUAAUUUUUAUAAUGAAUUAUUGCCUACAUCGGAAUGUUUGAAAAAUGCAGAUUGACCAAAGAUUAUGACAAUUGAUUUAAGAGAUCAAGAUGACACGGUAAUGUUUCGUUAGCAUUUUAUCUAUCAACAUAUAACUAAUUGGUCUUUUAUGAGAGAAUCAAUCAAGUGUUAUUUUUUGUUUGUAUGCUUCUUGAUGUGUGUUGGGACAUUGUCGUAAGUGAGCUAAUAUAGACUGUUAAACUCAUUGAAACCUAAUCAAGACACCAAAUAAGAUAUUCUAUUCUCAAGACUUGAUUGAAUUUAUGGAUCCAAUGAAACAUAACAAGAUAAGAAAAGGAAAAUACUAGUGAUAUACAUCGAAAUCUCACCAAUGGUUUCAAAUACAUUAUGGAGCAUGAAAUUCAACGAGGACUGACCAUUCAUAAGUUGUGCAAAAAUUUCAUGAUUGUUCAACCAAACAUGCAUUUAUCAAAGACUAUGUGAAGUUAAAUACUACUGAGGAU